rnacentral:lncRNA from 1 species
UAAUUUUCUGGGGCUUCUUUCUUUGAAUUUUGUGUUCUAGCCAGCCUCUGGACAGGAAGCAUUCAAGAAUAUGUUACAUUCUUGAAGGACUGUACCUAAGGGAGAGAGCAUUCAAGAAUACAUUAUACUGUUGAAGGAUUGCACCAAAGGGAGAGAGCUGUGAUGAAGUGCAGGUGUCAUCAUGAGAGCAAAACAACUUGAAUCUUCAUUUUGCUACCGAAGGAAGGGAUACAGAUAUUGGAGUAAUACAGAGAAGUAUGGAAAGAUAAUCUGAAAAUAUUCCAUUCCUGAAUCAUAGAUAUGUCCAGUCCACAGAAGCUAAAA